rnacentral:lncRNA from 1 species
AUAGAACCCUGAUUUUGUUCAAGGAUUCCUGCUUUCUCCACACAGCGUAUGAUUCAGAGGAUGCAGCAAACCCUCCCAGCUCUAGCAAUGUGAACCAAUUGUAGCAAUUAAUAGCACUGGCAGUGAUUUAUUUAGGUGACGACACCUCCACUUCACCUGGAUAUGGCACUGAAAUUCCAGCAACCACCUUGUGACAAGCGUGAGGAUGAAAACAUCACACCCAGAAGGACAAAGCUAAGACAGUCAUGCCCAGAUACCAGAGGUCAGAAGUAGUCCCCUGCUUCUAGUUCCCGACCAUGAUAUUCAAGCACUCUCUGAAGAUGUUGUUGCCAGGGCAUUUGGUGUUGAGAUAAGAAAGCAGGAAGAUAUGCUUGGAUGAAUGGCAGAGACUCAUCAAGAAGAGCAGGGACUUUAACAUUGACAUAGUCCUCCAAACUGGGAAAUUCUUUUCAAUGGCACUUUUCUGUUUCAUAACCUUGUUUAGAUUCCCACUGCUUACUGCAUUCAGUUUAUCUUACAGAGUUUGUUAAAUAUGCCCCAACAUAUAAUUUCAGUCUCUUCUACAGCCACCCACAAAUGUUAUAUCACUGCCAAACAUUUCCUUGCCAAAUCUUUCUCUUUCACAUUCCAUUCUCACUACCUAAAAUUCUCUCGGCCUUAUUUCUCUACCAAGAAAAUUUCCAUUUAUCCUGCAGAACACAACUUCAAUGGAACCACUGUUGAGUACAGCCAUCGUCCCCUUUCCAGUGAGUAUUAGUUUCUGAUUUAGAACUUCACCUGUAUCUUACAUGGUCCACUCUUCAUUAAACUGCAAUUUAUUUAUCACUAACUUCCACCCACUAAGCUGUGAUUUCCUCAGUGUCUAGGGAUUCUUAAUUUAUCUUUAUCUCACCCUGUAUGAUAUCUGGCCUGUAAGAGAGACUUUACAAGGAUUUACUAAAUUAAUUAAUGAAUUAAACAAUUGUGGAGUAUGUAGAGUUUUGGAGAGGAAAGGGCAUAGCUAGCCACAUAGAAGUGGAAAUGAAAACAAAACAGAGGGAGAUGACCCAGGAACAAGCGAACAAAGCCCAGGUUAAAUUGUCUGGAAUCUCCUGUCAUCUGAUAAAUCUAAAACAGUGUUUAUUGAAACCUGCUGUGUGAAAGGCAUUUUUAUUUGCCCUGAAGUGCUCAUUCUCUGAUAACUUUUAAAUUUUAUUAUGGUGAGCUGACUUAAAUACAACUGUGAAAGGACAAUGUAAUGGAAAACAGAUGAUAGUUUUUGAAAAUAGAGAGGUCGGAAAGAGUGAACGUAGCCAGAACAAGUCUUCGUAAAGGACAUAAGACUUGAGUUUUACAUGGAAGACUAGGCAGGAUCCACACAGAAUCAUUAAAUAAGGAAUAUUAAAGUUAUUAAAGUUGGAAAGACCUUUACUGAUCCAUUGAAAUGGAAGUUCCAAGGCCACAGAAAUUCUGUCUGUAUUGUUUUUCAUUUUAUUCCCAUUUUCCACUACUUUACCUGGACA